rnacentral:rRNA from 1 species
AGAGCGAACGCUGGCGGCAGGCUUAACACAUGCAAGUCGAGCGGGCGUAGCAAUACGUCAGCGGCAGACGGGUGAGUAACGCGUGGGAACAUACCUUUUGGUUCGGAACAACACAGGGAAACUUGUGCUAAUACCGGAUAAGCCCUUACGGGGAAAGAUUUAUCGCCGAAAGAUUGGCCCGCGUCUGAUUAGCUAGUUGGUGAGGUAAUGGCCUACCAAGGCAACGACGGGUAGCUGGUCUGAGAGGACGAUCAGCCACACUGGGACUGAGACACGGCCCAGACUCCUACGGGAGGCAGCAGUAGGGAAUCUUGCGCAAUGGACGAAAGCCUGACGCAGCGACGCCGCGUGCGGGAUGAAGGCCUUCGGGUCGUAAACCGCUUUCAGCAGGGACGAAAUUGACGGUACCUGCAGAAGAAGGCCGGCCAACUACGUGCCAGCAGCCGC